CAUGUUGUGGGUUUUCUUGGUGAGACAAUAAAUAGUUUUGUGACUCGUUCUUAACCAGGAAGCCUGUGUUAAGUUGUGACUAUCCCCAGUUGACAUGGACGUGUUUCCUGAACAAUCACCAGGUGUUAAACACCUCACAGGAUGACAGUGAUCUAUAUGGAUGAAGCAGAAUGCUUGUAGAGCUCAUUGGUAGCACAAUGAGUAAAACGGUGGUCUCGUAAUUUUAUCGCUGGAUUACGUGGUUUCCAAUCCUCUCACCAUACUUGAAAAAUACGUGUUUUUGAUUUCGGCCCGCACGUUUCUUUUUACUGUCUGUAGAUGAUAUUUACAUGGAUAUAGACUUUAUUAAGCAGUGAUGCCGACGUUUUUCGGUGACGUCUUCUUUAUCUGGUAUCUUUAUUUCACGUAAAUCCAGGUCUGAUCGUGACGAAUCUGCGGACGAAACAUCUGGAGACGGAAACUAUCACCAGUUAACCUGAUCACCAGUUAAACUGGAACACCGGUUCACUGUGCUGCAUACAGUUACACACUACGUCGUACGAUUGAGACAAGGAAACUUGGAAUGACUUUUCAGAGGUUUCCCAGAGACUAUGGGUUGAGGAGGAAUUGGAAGUUUGUCAGCUUAGACCUGGUGUCAUUCCAUCAGUGUUAAACUUCCCGGCUCAUCUUUGAAGAGUACGUGCCAGAAAGACCACAACCAAGCAGCCUUGAGAUCUUAGGCAGCGUCUCCCUGAGUUCAAAGGUCCCUCUCUAUCUCCACACAUCCACCAACCACUGGAACACAUCUCCAAAGUUCUGCUGGGCCAGCUCAGCUUCCCCUCAGAAGAAGUGCUGCCACCUGCCAGAUGAAGGAGCCUUUUGAGAGGCAGCUGGCAUCGUGAUUGGACUGUACUUUGGUCUGUUCCAAUACAGCUUCAGCUCCAGAGACGGCAGGCGGGACGAGUCAACGGAGGCCGGGUGGACGAAGACAUGCAGCUGAGUACAAUCCAGAAAACAACAGAGGAGGAGUGCAGCAGCCCAGAGCCAGAACAACCAGAGUAGUCUUAGAAAACAUCAUAGUAUAGCCUCUGGUAUGAAAAAACGCCAUCAUAUACAUCGUAUAUUGUACAAAUAACAAGUCAAAGCAAAGAGACAUACAUUGUAGAAUUGUAGUAAUUGUGGGCUGACUGAUUUACUAAUUAUCAGUAUUUCAUUUUUUACUGAUUUACGGUAAUAAAUAAAUUUAACAAUGGCGCUACUUUGGCUCUGAA